UACAGAGGUUUCAAGCGUUGUUCGGAUUCAUUGGGCGUAAAGGGUGCGUAGGUGGCCAACUAAGUCAGACGUGAAAUCCCUCAGCUUAACUGGGGAACUGCGUCUGAUACUGGAUGGCUUGAGUUUGGGAGAGGGAUGCGGAAUUCCAGGUGUAGCGGUGAAAUGCGUAGAUAUCUGGAGGAACACCGGUGGCGAAGGCGGCAUCCUGGACCAAUUCUGACGCUCAGGAGCGAAAGCCAGGGGAGCAAACGGG
rnacentral:rRNA from 1 species